rnacentral:rRNA from 1 species
GACGUAGGGCGCGAGCGUUGUCCGGAUUUAUUGGGCGUAAAGAGCUCGUAGGCGGCUUGUCGCGUCGUCCGUGAAAACUUGGGGCUCAACCUCCAGCCUGCAGUGGGUACGGGCAGACUAGAGUGCGGUAGGGGAGAUUGGAAUUCCUGGUGUAGCGGUGGAAUGCGCAGAUAUCAGGAGGAACACCGAUGGCGAAGGCAGAUCUCUGGGCCGUAACUGACGCUGAGGAGCGAAAGCGUGGGGAGCAAACAGG